ensembl:lincRNA Gm20443 predicted gene 20443
UGAACCUUCGUGUUUGUUCCUCACACAGCCGGCCGGGCUCUCCCAAGCGCUGGGACAGGACUAUCCUUCAAGCCAAGCAUCGGCAGUUUUGGGGAGCUCAGCUGUUGCCUGUUGCAGAAGGAUCACCCCAGCUGAGCUUGCAGAUAGGGUUUCUCUGUGUAGAACAGACUAUCUUCGAACUCAGAGAACCACCUGCCUCCAUCUCCAGAGCUCUGGGAUUAAAGGGAUCCAGACAGGAGCAUGGCUGAUGUCUUGAACGCUUCCUGAUGUGGGGAGUGCUCGAUGCUGACGAGGAAAGGAAGAGAUUCUAAAACAACACUUUAGGACAUCCCUCUAUUGCAAAGGCCAGUGCAGAGUGAAUGUGCGGUCCUAAUGUUCUGUGGCCCCGCCCUGCCUAGGCCAGUGCAGAGCGAAUGUGCUGUUCUAACGUAUUAUGGCCGCCAGAGGGCAGAACUGAGUCAAGAAGAAGAGAAGAGCAGGAGAUGGCCGCUCAGAAACAAAAAGCUAAAGAAACUGAGAUCGCUAACGGCCGCCAGAGAAGCACAUUCCAGCGCGUAUUCUCAGUGCCUUGGCAUUUCAGUGUGGCUUUCUGUCCAUCCAAGUCCAUCCCAGUACAGGGUUGAGUUUGCAACCCUUUCCUUGGUGGGUGUUAUGGUGCAUGCCAGUGACUCCAGAAGCUGGCAGGCCACGAUUGCCUUAUUGAGUUUGAGCUAAUUUGUGUCCAGCAGACUCUCU